AUUGAACGCUGGCGGCAUGCCUUACACAUGCAAGUCGAACGGUAACAGAUCUUCGGAUGCUGACGAGUGGCGAACGGGUGAGUAAUACAUCGGAACGUGCCUAGUAGUGGGGGAUAACUACUCGAAAGAGUGGCUAAUACCGCAUGAGAUCUACGGAUGAAAGCAGGGGAUCGCAAGACCUUGUGCUACUAGAGCGGCCGAUGGCAGAUUAGGGAGUUGGUGGGAUAAAAGCUUAACAAGCCGACGAUCUGUAGCUGGUCUGAGAGGACGAUCAGCAACACUGGGACUGAGACACGGCCCAGACUCCUACGGGAGGCAGAAGUGGGGAAUUUUGGACAAGGGGCGCAAGCCUGAUCCAGCAAUGCCGCGUGCAGGAUGAAGGCCUUCGGGUUGUAAACUGCUUUUGUACGGAACGAAAAGCCCUGGGUUAAUACCCUGGGGUCAUGACGGUACCGUAAGAAUAAGCACCGGCUAACUACGUGCCAGCCGCCGCAGUAAAAC
rnacentral:rRNA from 1 species